rnacentral:rRNA from 1 species
UACGUAGGGUCCGAGCGUUGUCCGGAAUUAUUGGGCGUAAAGGGCUCGUAGGCGGUCUGUUGCGUCGGGAGUGAAAACUUACAGCUUAACUGUGAGCGUGCUUCCGAUACGGGCAGACUUGAGGUAUUCAGGGGAGAACGGAAUUCCUGGUGUAGCGGUGAAAUGCGCAGAUAUCAGGAAGAACACCCGUGGCUAAGGCGGCUCUCUAGUACGGUACUGACGCUGAGACGCGAAAGCGUGGGGAGCGAACAGG